CCCUUAAGUAUUAGAAGUUUCGUUUUGGUACCUUAACUUAUUUUUUGGUUUCGUUUUGGUCCCUUAACUUAUUUUUUGGUUUCGUUUUGGUCCCUUAACUCUAAUACAUUCAUCCUAACAUAAAGGACUAAAGUGGUUGACGAAGGAAGAGUUAAGGACCAAAACGAAACCAAAAAGUAAGUUAAAGGACCAAAACGAAACUUUUAAUAGUUAAGGGACCAAAACGAAACCAAAAAGUAAGUUAAGAGACCAAAACGAAACUUUUAAUAGUUAAGGGA
rfam:Medicago truncatula strain A17 chromosome 8, whole genome shotgun sequence.